GAUGGUGGAGGAGCAGACGGCGCGUAUCCCAGUGCUGGCGCCACCUUUAAGUCCAACGCAGGGAACGGGGAAAAACAGCUCUGGAUUUCUUGCUCGGCGGUAGUGCCGCUACCACCGCUGCGCCCUAGCGCCAGGCCUAAACCUGGAGCUUGUUCCGAGCGGUGCUCCAGCGUGCGGCGCCCCCUCGCCCGGCACCGGCCUCACCACCGCUCGGAACCUCACGGCGGAGCGGCGGGGGGGCGGGUCCUGCUCAGGCUUUUGGGGAUUGAAGCGCCCACCGUGGCUUCGGCCAGGCCCUCCGGUCUUUGAGGCACCUGCCCUGGGAGCUCCAAAGGGAGGGCGAGGCCAGGGGUUUGAGACUGAGGCCUUGACACCAAAAGUCCGCUUCCUCGUUCUGAUGCCAGCAGGUUGCAGACCGUUAAUGCUGGAGCAAGAAUAUCACAGACCUUUUCGGGCUGUUUGCCAAGCUGCCAUACAUAGAACUCCGGAGUAUCCUGCUAGAAAGACCACAUGGAGGAGGAGGCAACAGCCAGUAACCCCAGCUAACUACCAGGCACAUGUAUGGGGCCAUCUUGGACCAUCCAGUCCCAAUCAAGACCCAGAUGACAGCAUUGCAAAGAGGUGUGCCCUGGAUUCCGCAGCGACGCCCCGCGCAACUGCCCUCAGGACGCAGCGCACGUGAGGAUCGCUUCGCCUGGGCUCACAUCACACCCGGCUUGCGUCAUCCUGCACAGGUUUACACAAGAACUGUAAUGUUUUGGAAGAUCCUCAGCCAGCAGCCGCUUGGUUUUAAAAUUUCUUGAUCAAAAAAUAGAAACAUGUUGUCAGAGAAAUCACCUAUUUGUCCUUUUUAAGACUAAUGAGUUGAGUGACAGGACAUUCUUUUGGAAACUCUGAGAAAGGCCAAAGUGAGACCUAAGCAUCAGGCUCCAGGAUCUCUCAAGCCACGGAGGCAAGCUCUCGUGUAUAUAGCCAGCCCAACACCGUGCAGAACCUCCUUCCUACAUGAAAGCUGCCGGCCCUUAAAGAAUUGAAUGUCGCCUCUCACAAGAGAGGCAGGUGGACGGUCCCUUGGUUUGGCAUCUCAUCAAGAAGAGGUGUAACAAACUCAUCUCCAGCUGGGGGCUCCCUGACUAAAAUUCAUAUGGAAUUAAAUAAUUCUGGCCACUUCAGGAGAGGCGAUUUGUGAUAAAGUUUUCCCACCCUCCCCUCUCCCUCUGCAGUUAAUUUCCCUGACCUACUUCUCCUUAACUAAGUAAUCAUCCUCUUCUGUGUUGGAACUCACGGGUUGUCUACACGCUUGUUUAUUAUUGUUGUUGUUGGUUGCUCUUGCUUUGUUGUCAUUUUAAUGAGUUCGCAUGAUGGAAAUGGUGGGGAAAGUGAGGUCACGUGCUUGAGGGAUGGUGGAUCAAGACGGCCAUGUACAAGUGGAGAUCAUUCGUAAAUCUGCAAUUUUUAAAGGACCGUUUCCAACUCUCGAAUAUUAAGUUAGCUUUCAAAUCAUAUCCCCCAAUAUUAUGUUUAGCUCAGGUUAAUAGUAGGUUAUAUCUGGGUCAAAGGCCUUGCUACAUUAUUUUAAUUAUUGUUGUAAAGUGUCAAACUGACUUUGGAACAGAAGGAAACCUACAGAAAAAACACUUUGUAAGAUACGACUUUUCUCACCUCCCACUACAAAUAAAAUGAAAGGGAGCUUCCAUUUGUAGGGGACCCAGAAAACAACUUUUUUGCUGCCUCAAGGAUUUUCUAAAGAUUUUUCUAAGAUAUAAAGAUAACAUUUGUUCAUCACAUGCAACUUGUAACUAGAGAAAAAUAUACAAAAGAAAAUGGAAUCACUUAUAAUCGCAUCACAUAUAGGGAAUCACUAUGAAUCACUGUUCACAUUUACCCUCAUAAACUUGUUUAAAUAAAUACCAUCUAAGGCAUAGUUGUAUAUUUUGCAACUAAACACUGUACAAGGAGUAACUUCCUGUGUCAUUAAUAUUUCUUAUAAUCAUAACAACUGUUUAUUAUUUCCAUCUAAAGGAUGUACCAUAAUUCAUUUAACCUUCAUCUGUAGGUUAAGUAAAACAGUAAGGAGUAUUUAGUUUAUCAAUCCUUUGUUUGAAUUUCUGAUCAUUCUACAUUCAUGGAAUGGAUUCCUGCUUGAAUGGGUACAAACAUGUUCAGGUUUCCUGGUGAUCAAGCAGUCAUUCUCUUAAUUACUAUAGCAUUGCCAAGCAAUGACUUGUGACUGGAAACUAUACAAGAUGCUGGGGAUAUAGCAGCAAACAGAAAAAGAACAUUCCUUGCCUAUGAGAAAAUUAUUUCCUACUAGGGAAGACAGACAUUUAAGAGUAAACAAAUAGCAAUCAAGGAGAAAUUAACAGUAUUUUUUAAAAAGAUUUAUUUAUUUGUUUUGAGAGAGAGAGAGGAAGC